CCAAUAGCGUAUAUUAAAGUUGCUGCAGUUAAAAAGCUCGUAGUUGAAUUUCGGGACCAUCAUGUCGGUCGUGCCUCGGUACGUACUGGCAUUGUUGGUUUCUCCCUUCUGACGAACCAUGAUGUCAUUAAUUUGGUGUCUUGGGGAAUCAGGACUGUUACUUUGAAAAAAUUAGAGUGUUUAAAGCAGGCUCACGCUUGAAUACAUUAGCAUGGAAUAAUGAAAUAGGACGUUCGAUCCUAUUUUGUUGGUUUCUAGGAUUGACGUAAUGAUUAAUAGGGAUAGUUGGGGGCAUUAGUAUUCAAUUGUCAGAGGUGAAAUUCUUGGAUUUAUUGAAGACUAACUACUGCGAAAGCAUUUGCCAAGGAUGUUUUCAUUAAUCAAGAACGAAAGUUAGGGGAUCGAAGACGAUCAGAUACCGUCGUAGUCUUAACCAUAAACUAUGCCGACUAGGGAUCGGAUGAUGUUAAUUUUUUAAUGACUCAUUCGGCGCCUUACG
rnacentral:rRNA from 1 species